rnacentral:rRNA from 1 species
GGCGAACGGGUGAGUAACACGUGGGUAAUCUGCCCUGCACUCUGGGAUAAGCCUGGGAAACUGGGUCUAAUACUGGACAUGACCUUUCUCCUUAUGGGGUUUGGUGGAAAGUUUUUCGGUGUAGGAUGAGCCCGCGGCCUAUCAGCUUGUUGGUGGGGUGAUGGCCUACCAAGGCGACGACGGGUAGCCGGCCUGAGAGGGUGAUCGGCCACAUUGGGACUGAGAUACGGCCCAG